UUUGGUGUAAGUAUGCAUCUGAGGUGUCUAAAGUUUCGUAGAGGGCUGGUCAGUUGGCUCAGCAAGUGAAAAUGUCUGUCACCAAGCCUGAUGACAUGAUUUCAAUCCCCAGAACCCACACCCACGCUGUAGAUGGAGAGAACUGACUUCCAGAAGUUGUCCUUUGACCUCUACACACAUACAAUUAGGAAAAUACAGGCUCAGCAGUUUGUUGUUCUCCAGAGCAGGAAUUCUUAGCAAGAUCCCCGAUUGAAGAUGACUGGGGAUUCCUGAAGCGAUCUGCUAAGGCAGUUGGAAGUCUGGCUUCAUCUCAAAUACCUGCCACAUCCAGUGGAGUUACUGUAAUGCAGAGUGGGAAGAAGCCUCUAAAAUCUUCAGGCUGCGCAGACAGAGAAACUGAGGCUCAGAGAGUGCCUCGUGUCCAGAUAAGAAGUCAGUGACCGAGUCGGGCACCAUGCUUAUUCCUUUUUAAGGACUCGACUUCCAACCACAGUUGGAACCCCUUGCCAAUAUUUCUCAACAAAUGACAGUACAAUGUGACUCAUUUUUUGACAUUAUGCAAAUGAAGGAAACAAGACUGAGUGCCCUUCUGUCCAGAGAGCAGGAAAUGAAGGCUGUCUGGGGCCGCAUGUUCCCAGGGACAUACAGUGUCACAAGGGGGUGGGGGUGGGGGUCCUGGAAGAACCAGGCCUUUGUUCACUUCUGUCUUCCCUCAGCUCCCCUUCUCAGCCAUGGCUAGCAGGAUUGGCACCAAACCCACACUCCCAGCGUCAACCAGAGAAUCUUAUGAGGACACUUAGGUUGUGUUCUCUGUGGACCUGCCAGCAGAGACUCCUUCCCUUUCAACUGCCCGCCCCCCUCCGCAGCCCAGCCCAAGGCAGCAUUUUGCACUCUCUCUGGAAGAGAUGUUUCUAACCAAUUGGUCCCUCCCUCCUAUGGAAAGCAGAGCCAUUUGCCACAAUGGACCUUAUAUUUUUGGUCAGAGAAGGGCUGAGUGGAUGCUGUUAAAGUUUAUUGGGUUUUCUUUUUUAGCUCCCCCCCCACCCCCACCCCCACUUACAGGAUGACUUCAUCCUGGCUGGAGUGCCCUCAACCCCGGAGGUUCCUGUGAGGGACAGUCUUUGUGCUAGCCUCAUGAAGCAGGGGUCAGUUAUGGAAACUCUCCCAGCCCUGGCUUCUUUCAAUUAGGCAUUAACAGUAUUUCAUCGGAGUGACUUGUGGUGGGAACAGCCCAGAAAUGGAGGAGUUUAUAUGGAGGACGGUGCUUUCCAGAGAGUAGGCAAGACGGGAGAGCUUCUCCAGAGCAUUAGACACAUGAGGAAACGGUGACCCAGGGAGGAGGAAAGGUCAUGAGGUCACAGAGCCAGGUGGCUGCAACCGGACUACAAAGACUGGAACCUGGGCUUCAGAGCUGAGCUGGCACAUCCUGGGUUGUACAUCUGUCUUUCAAGAUGUCUUCAUACUCCUGAUGUACACCAUAAGGUUGUUUUUAAAUUGUACUAUUGGUUAAUGUAGAGAUUCCCCCUCCCCCUCGAGGGGGGGCGGUGUUAAAGACUGAGAGCUGGAGAGAUAGAUAGCCCAGUGCUUAAGAGCUUAUUCUGCACCGGGUGGUGGUGGCGCACGCCUUUAAUCCCAGCACUCGGGAGGGAGAGGCAGGAGGAUCUCUGUGAGUUCGAGGCCAGCCUGGGCUACAGAAUGAGUUUCUGGAGAGGCGUAAAGCUACACAGAGAAACCCUGUCUCAAAAAAAAAAAAAAAGAGCUCAUACUGCUCCUGCAGAGGACCUGAGGUCGGUUCCUAGCACCCACAGAGGCAGCUCAUAACCAUCUGUACGUGACCCCAGCUCCAGGGGAGCUGAUGCUUUGGCCUGGGACACCUGUACCCAUAUGUACACACAAUACAUAUACAUAUGCAUAAUUUAAAAUA